rnacentral:lncRNA from 10 species
GCACAGUUCCCUAGGGCUGUUGAGGCUUCAUGUGAGAGGCUUAGCAAAUCCCAAGGAGAGAGUCAGUAUACACACGUGCAUAUACAUAUGUGUGUAUGUGUGAACAGGGUUUUCCUCCUCAUCUAGUAAAUACUUCUAUUCAAUUUAUGACCAUCAUUAUUAUUAUUUAGAGAAUAUGGAGAUGGUUCUGAGGUACAAUACAACAAAAAUCUUCAUAGGAGAACCUAAGUGCGGCCACUGGAUGAUCCAUUCAUGGAAGGAGGCUACUCAAAGUAUGAAGAUAAAAUGUGAGCUGGACAAGAACUACAAAACACGCUGAAAGAAAUCAGAGAUGACACAAACAAAUGGAAAAACAUUCCAAGCUCAUGAGCUAGAAGAAUCAAUAUCAUUAAAAUGGCCAUACUGCCCAAAGCAAUCCACAGAUUCAAUGCUAUUCCUAUCAAACUACAAACAUCAUUUUUCACAGAAUUAGAAAAAUCCUGCCGGGUCCAGUGGCUCACGCCUGUAAUCCCAGCACUUUGGGAGGCUGAGGCGGGUGGAUCACAACGUCAGGAGUUCAAGACCAGCCUGGCUAAGAUGAUGAAACCCCAUCUCUACUAAAAUUACAUAAAUUAGCUGGGCAUGGUUGGCGGGCUCCUGUAAUCCCAGCUAUUUGGGAGGCUGAGGCAGGAGAAUUGCUUGAACUCAGGAGGCAGAGGUUGCAGUGAGCUGAGAUUGCACAGCUGCACUCAGAGCCUGGGAGACACAGCAAGACUCCGUCUCAAAAAAAAAAAAAAAGAAAAAAUCCAUUCUAAAAUUCAUAUGGAACCAAAAAAUCAAUCCUAAGCAAAUAAAACAAAGCUGAGGUAUCACAUUACCUGAGUUAAACUAUACUAUAAGGAAGCUACAGUAACCAAAACAGCAUGGUACAGAUAUAAAAACAGACCCAUAGACCAAUGGAAUGGAACAGACAGAAAUAAAGCUACACACCUACAGCCAUCUGACCUUUGACAAAGUUAACAAAAAUAAGCAACAGAGAAAGGAUUCCCUAAUUCAAUAAAUGGUGCUGGAACAGCUGUCUAGCCAUAUGCAGAAGACUCAAACUGGACCCCUUUCACCAUAUAUAUAAAAUUACCUCAAGAUAGAUUAAAGAUUUAAAUAUAAGGGGCCGGGUGCAGUGGCUCAUGCCUGUAAUCCCAGCACUUUGGGAGACUGAGGUGGGUGGAUCACUUGAGGCUCGGAAUUCAAGACCAGCCUGGCCAACAUGGUAAAACCCCAUUCCUACUAAAAAUAGAAAAAUUAGCCAGGCGUGGUGGCAUGUGCCUGUAAUCCCAGUUAGGUUGGGAGGCUGAGGCAUGAGAAUCGCUUGAGCCUGGGAGGUGGAGGUUGUGGUGAGCCAAGAUUGUACCACUGUACUCCAGCCUGGGCAACAGAAGGAGACUCUGUCUUUGGGGAAAAAAAAAAAAAAAGAUUUAAAUGUAAGACUUCAAGCUAUAAGAGUCCUAGAAGAAAACCUACGAAAUAACAUCUGGACAUCAGCUAUGGGAAAGAACUUACGGCUAAGUCCUCAAAAGCAAUUGCAACAAAAACAAAAAUUGACAAGUGGAACCUAAUCAAACUAAAGAGCUUCUGCACCGCAAAAGGAACUAUCAAUACAGUAAACAGACAACCUACAGAAUGGGAGAGAAUAUUCACAAACUGUGCAUCUGAAAAAGGUCUAAUGUCCAAAAUCUAUAAGGAACUAAAACAAUUCAGAAAACGAAAACCAAGUAACUCGUGGCCAGGUGUGGUGGCUCACUCCUGUAAUCCCAGCACUUUGGGAGGCUGAGAUGGGUGGAUCACCUGAGGUCAGGAAUUCGAGACCAGGCUGGCCAACAUGGUGAAACCCUGUCUCUACUAAAAGUACCAAAAUUAGCCACGCUUGGUGGCAGGCACCUGUAAUCCCAGCAACUCAGGAGGCUGGGGCAGGAGAAUCGCUUGAACCCGGGAGGUGGAGGUUGCAGUGAGCUGAGAUGGUGCCAUUGCACUCUAGCCUGGGUGACAACAGUGAAACUCCAUCUCAAAACAAAAACAAAAACAAAAAUACACACACACAAACAAAAACCCAUUAAAAAAAUGCCAAAAGACUUGAACAGACACUUCUCAAAAGACAACAUACAAGCGGUUAACAAACAUGAAAAAAUGCUCAACAUUACUAAUCAGAUAAAUGCAAAUCAAAACCACAAUGAGUUACAAUCUCACACCAGUCAGAAUGGCUAUUAUCAAAAAGUCAAAAAAAUAACAGAUGCUGGUGAGGCUGUGGGAAAAACGGAAUGCUUCAACACUGUAGAAGCCAGUGCAGUGUAGAAUGCGCCUACACUGAUGGAAAUGCAAAUUAGUUCAGCCACUGUGAAAGCAGUUUGGAGAUUUCUCAAAGAAGUUAAAACAGAACUACCAUUUGAACCAGCAAUCCCAUGACUGGAUAUAAAUCCAAAUGAAAAUAAAUUGUUCUACCAAAAAGACACAUACACUCACAUAUUCAUCACAGCACUAUUCACAACAGCAAAGACACAGAAUCAACCUAGAUGCUCAUUAAUAGUGGACUGGAUAAAGAAAAUUGGUACAUAUACACCACAGAAUACUAUGCAGCCAUAAAAAAGAAUGAAAAUCAUGUCUUUUGCAGCAACAUGGAUGCAGCUGGAGGUCAUUAUAGUGAAUAUACACAGGAACAGAAAACCAAAGACCGCAUGUUCUCACUUAUCAGUGGGAACUAAGCAAUGGGUACACAUGGACAUAAAAAUGAGAACAGACAUAGGGGACUACUGGAGGGAAGAGGGGAGGGAAGGGGUGAAAAACCACCUGUUGGACUCUAUGCUCACUACCUGGGUGACAGGAUCAUUUGUACCCCAAACCUCAGCAUCACAAAAUAUACCCAUAUAACUCACCUGCACAUGUACCCCUACAUCUAAAAUAAAAGUUGAAAUUAUAAAAACAACAACAACAACAAAAAAAAUGAAAUGUGAGUUAGGCAAGUCCAGAUUCUAGCUGAUCCCUGAGAAAUGUACUUUUCUCCAAGUCAAUGAAUCCAAUCUUUAAUGGAUCUGGGAUGCUCUCUGACCAGGUCCUGUUAUGAGUUUCCUGUGUUAUAAUUAAAAACCCCAAACUGAUUAAGCAUGAGAGGAUACUUCCUGCUCUCAGAUAAAUUAUUUAUUAUAUUCUGUAUUAUCCUUGUAAUUUUUCUGGAUAUGAAUAAAUAACAAUGUAUCUCAGAAAAACACAUUUUGAAAAGCC